ACUCUAGUAUUGACCUCAAUCCACAUGUGUUGAGGUGGAUUGGGGUGUAAAUUAAUUUAAGUUACACCCCAAUCCACCGCAAUACAUGUGGAUUGAGGUCAAUACUAGA
rnacentral:pre_miRNA from 1 species